rnacentral:snRNA from 12 species
AAACUUACGUGACGACGAGUCCAGAGUGAUCAGCAAGGCCUUGACACCACGCGGAGGCUCAGCAAUGUAUUCCGCUGUGUUGAAACCUUCGACGAACUCCCAUUGGGUUCGCUCGGAUACCUAGUUAUUGGCAGUGGGGAGUCUUCGGACAUCCCUU